UUGACCUCAAAUCAGGUAGGACUACCCGCUGAACUUAAGCAUAUCAAUAAGCGGAGGAAAAGAAACUAACAAGGAUUCCCCUAGUAACUGCGAGUGAAGCGGGAAAGCUCAAAUUUAAAAUCUGGCGGUCCUCCCGGCCGUCCGAGUUGUAAUCUGGAGAAGCGUUUUCCGCGUCGGACCGUGUACAAGUCUUCUGGAAUGGAGCGUCGUAGAGGGUGAGAAUCCCGUCUCUGACACGGACCGCCGAUGCUUUUGUGAUACGCUCUCGAAGAGUCGAGUUGUUUGGGAAUGCAGCUCAAAAUGGGUGGUAAAUUCCAUCUAAAGCUAAAUAUUGGCGAGAGACCGAUAGCGAACAAGUACCGUGAGGGAAAGAUGAAAAGCACUUUGGAAAGAGAGUUAAACAGUACGUGAAAUUGUUGAAAGGGAAACGUUUGAAGUCAGUCGCGUCGGUCGAGACUCAACCUGGCUCUUUCGCUGGGGGCACUUCUCGGCCGACGGGUCAGCAUCAGUUUUGACCGUCGGAUAAAGGCCUAGGGAAUGUGGCAUCUUUCGGGAUGUGUUAUAGCCUUGGGUUCGGAUACGGCGAUCGGGAUUGAGGAACUCAGCGCGCCUUCAUUGGUCGGGGCUUCGGCUCACGUUAACGCGUUAGGAUGCUGCAUA
rnacentral:rRNA from 1 species